ACUUACAGAUGGACCCGCGGCGCAUUAGCUAGUUGGUGAGGUAAUGGCUCACCAAGGCAACGAUGCGUAGCCGACCUGAGAGGGUGAUCGGCCACACUGGGACUGAGACACGGCCCAGACUCCUACGGGAGGCAGCAGUAGGGAAUCUUCCGCAAUGGACGAAAGUCUGACGGAGCAACGCCGCGUGAGUGAUGAAGGUUUUCGGAUCGUAAAGCUCUGUUGUUAGGGAAGAACAAGUACCGUUCGAAUAGGGCGGUACCUUGACGGUACCUAACCAGAAAGCCACGGCUAACUACGUGCCAGCAGCCGCGGUAAUACGUAGGUGGCAAGCGUUGUCCGGAAUUAUUGGGCGUAAAGGGCUCGCAGGCCGUUUCUUAAGUCUGAUGUGAAAGCCCCCGGCUCAACCGGGAGGGUCAUUGGAAACUGGGGAUCUUGAGUGCACAAGAGGAGAGUGGAACUCCCAUCUAUCGGUGAUAUGCGUAUAGAGGUUGGAACAACACCGGUGUCGAAC
rnacentral:rRNA from 1 species